GUGCUCGCUUCGGCAGCACAUAUACUAAAAUUGGGACGAUAUGGAGAAGAUUAGCAUGGCCCCUGCACAAGGAUGACAUGCAAAUUCAUGAAGCAUUCCAUAUUUUA
rnacentral:snRNA from 1 species